CAGUGUAACUCAAAAGUAUGAGAGACCGUUCAUUUCGUUUUCAUUGUGUGUCUAUGGGCAGAGAGCAGAUCCGUAUAUACGGCUCUGGCAGAGAGUAGCUGCCUCUGCCGUCCAGCGUCCAUGGCCGUGAAGGAAAUUCACCCUUUUGAGGUAUGCAGUGAUCCCUAAGAAGCCCUUACGCCAAUCUUCACAUUAGCCUUCACUUCUGGUAUGUGAUGUAAGCUUCGUUGUCACUUCUAAUGGCGACUCUUAAUGGCGACUCGGCUAUCAGUGAAUCCAUAAAGACUUGAAACCAGAGUUUUUUAAGCUCAAGUUUUUGGCAUAAUGUUUAGGCACAGCUUUGCGGUCUGAUUCAUACUGGAAGGAUCGGCAAGCAACUAAAUAAAUGAUAGUAUAUAGUGUGAUACAAUGGUAACCAUUAAAAUGGAAAAGUGGCACUAAAUGACUGGUGUAGGUCAAUAAAAUGGGAAUUUGUU